UACGUAGGGCGCAAGCGUUAUCCGGAAUUGUUGGGCGUAAAGAGCUCGUAGGCGGUUUGUCGCGUCUGCCGUGAAAGUCCGGGGCUCAACUCCGGAUCUGCGGUGGGUACGGGCAGACUAGAGUGAUGUAGGGGAGACUGGAAUUCCUGGUGUAGCGGUGAAAUGCGCAGAUAUCGGGAGGAACACCGGUGGCGAAGGCGGCGACCUGGGUAGAUACUGACGCUGAGGUGCGAAAGCGUGGGGAGCAACAG
rnacentral:rRNA from 1 species